rnacentral:rRNA from 1 species
GACGAACGCUGGCGGCGUGCUUAACACAUGCAAGUCGAACGGAAAGGCCCUGCUUUUGUGGGGUGCUCGAGUGGCGAACGGGUGAGUAACACGUGAGUAACCUGCCCUUGACUUUGGGAUAACUUCAGGAAACUGGGGCUAAUACCGGAUAGGAGCUCCUGCUGCAUGGUGGGGGUUGGAAAGUUUCGGCGGUUGGGGAUGGACUCGCGGCUUAUCAGCUUGUUGGUGGGGUAGUGGCUUACCAAGGCUUUGACGGGUAGCCGGCCUGAGAGGGUGACCGGCCACAUGGGGACUGAGAUACGGCCCAAACUCCUACGGGGGGCAGAAGUGGGGAAUAUUGCACAAGGGGCGGAAGCCGUAUGCCGAAACGCCGGGUGGGGGAUGACGGCCUUCGGGUUGUAAACCGCUUUCGCCUGUGACGAAGCGGGGGUGACGGUAAUGGGUAAAGAAACACCGGCUAACUACUU